AGCACCUACGGGGCGCAGCAGUAGGGAAUCUUCCACAAUGGGCGCAAGCCUGAUGGAGCAACACCGCGUGAGUGAAGAAGGUUUUCGGAUUGUAAACUAUUGUCGUGAGGGAAGAAGAUGACAGUACCUCAGGAGGAAGCUCCGGCUAACUAUGUGCCAGCAGCCGCGGUAAUACAUAGGGAGCAAGCGUUAUCCGGAAUUAUUGGGUGUAAAGGGUGCGUAGACGGGAAAUUAAGUUAGUUGUGAAAUCCCUUGGCUUAACUGAGGAACUGCAACUAAAACUGAUUUUCUUGAGUACUGGAGAG
rnacentral:rRNA from 1 species